rnacentral:rRNA from 1 species
UACGAAGGGGGCUAGCGUUGUUCGGAAUUACUGGGCGUAAAGCGCACGUAGGCGGAUCUUUAAGUCAGGGGUGAAAUCCCAGAGCUCAACUCUGGAACUGCCUUUGAUACUGGGUAUCUUGAGUGUGGAAGAGGUAAGUGGAAUUGCGAGUGUAGAGGUGAAAUUCGUAGAUAUUCGCAGGAACACCAGUGGCGAAGGCGGCUUACUGGUCCAUAACUGACGCUGAGGUGCGAAAGCGUGGGGAGCAAACAGG